rnacentral:rRNA from 1 species
UCCGGUUGAUCCUGCCAGAGGUCACUGCUAUCGGGGUUCGAUUAAGCCAUGCGAGUCGAGAGGGUUCGGCCCUCGGCGUACUGCUCAGUAACACGUGGAUAACCUGCCCUAGGGAAGGGGAUAAUCCCGGGAAACUGGGGAUAAUACCCUAUAGGUUACAGAUGCUGGAAUGCUCUGUAAUCAAAAGUUCCGGCGCCCUAGGAUGGAUCUGCGGCCGAUUAGGUUGUUGUUGGGGUAAUGGCCCAACAAGCCAGUAAUCGGUACGGGUUGUGGGAGCAAGAGCCCGGAGAUGGAUUCUGAGACAUGAAUCCAGGCCCUACGGGGCGCAGCAGGCGCGAAAACUUUACAAUGCGGGAAGCCGUGAUAAGGGGACACCGAGUGCCAGCAUCAUAUGCUGGCUGUCCGGAUGUGUAAAAUACAUCCGUUAGCAAGGGCCGGGCAAGACCGGUGCCAGCCGCCGCGGUAACACCGGCGGCCCGAGUGGUGAUCGUGAUUAUUGGGUCUAAAGGGUCCGUAGCCGGUUUGGUCAGUCCUCCGGGAAAUCUGAUAGCUCAACUAUUAGGCUUUCGGGGGAUACUGCCAGACUUGGAACCGGGAGAGGUAAGAGGUACUACAGGGGUAGGAGUGAAAUCUUGUAAUCCCUGUGGGACCACCUGUGGCGAAGGCGUCUUACCAGAACGGGUUCGACGGUGAGGGACGAAAGCUGGGGGCACGAACCGGAUUAGAUACCCGGGUAGUCCCAGCCGUAAACGAUGCUCGCUAGGUGUCAGGCAUGGCGCGACCGUGUCUGGUGCCGCAGGGAAGCCGUGAAGCGAGCCACCUGGGAAGUACGGCCGCAAGGCUGAAACUUAAAGGAAUUGGCGGGGGAGCACAACAACGGGUGGAGCCUGCGGUUUAAUUGGACUCAACGCCGGACAACUCACCGGGAACGACAGCAAUAUGUAGGCCAGGCUGAAGACCUUGCCUGAAUCGCUGAGAGGAGGUGCAUGGCCGUCGCCAGUUCGUACUGUGAAGCAUCCUGUUAAGUCAGGCAACGAGCGAGACCC